rnacentral:rRNA from 1 species
GACGAACGCUGGCGGCGUGCUUAACACAUGCAAGUCGAGCGGUAAGGCCCUUCGGGUACGACGAGCGGCGAACGGGUGAGUAACACGUGGGUGACCUGCCCUUAGCUCUGGGAUAAGCCUGGGAAACUGGGUCUAAUACCGGAUAUGACCUCAUGACGCAUGUUGUGGGGUGGAAAGCCUUGUGCGGCUAGGGGUGGGCCCGCGGCCUAUCAGCUUGUUGGUGGGGUGAUGGCCUACCAAGGCGACGACGGGUAGCCGGCCUGAGAGGGCGACCGGCC